CCUCCUUGUUGCCGCCGUGGGGAAUAUUGCACAAUGGGCGAAAGCCUGAUGCAGCAACGCCGCGUGAAGGAAGACGGUUUUCGGAUUGUAAACUUCUGUUCUUAGUGAAGAAUAAUGACGGUAACUAAGGAGCAAGCCACGGCUAACUACGUGCCAGCAGCCGCGGUAAUACGUAGGUGGCAAGCGUUGUCCGGAAUUACUGGGUGUAAAGGGAGCGUAGGCGGGAAGCCAAGUCAGCUGUGAAAACUACGGGCUUAACCUGUAGACUGCAGUUGAAACUGGCUUUCUUGAGUGAAGUAGAGGUUGGCGGAAUUCCGGGUGUAGCGGUGAAAUGCGUAGAUAUUCGGAGGAACUCCGAUCGCGAAGGCAAGUGUCCGGGGUGCAACUGACGCUGAGGCUCGAAAGUGCGGGUAUCAAACAGGAUUAGAUACCCGUGUAGUC
rnacentral:rRNA from 1 species